AUUGAACGCUGGCGGCAUGCUUUACACAUGCAAGUCGAACGGAAACAGGUUAAGCUGACGAGUGGCGAACGGGUGAGUAAUGCAUCGGAACGUGCCCGGUCGUGGGGGAUAACGCAGCGAAAGCUGCGCUAAUACCGCAUACGAUCUGAGGAUGAAAGCGGGGGACCGUAAGGCCUCGCGCGAUCGGAGCGGCCGAUGUCAGAUUAGGUAGUUGGGGGGGUAAAGGCUCACCAAGCCGACGAUCUGUAGCUGGUCUGAGAGGACGACCAGCCACACUGGGACUGAGAAACGGCCCAGACUCCUACGGGAGGCAGCAGUGGGGAAUUUUGGACAAUGGGCGAAAGCCUGAUCAAGCAAUGCCGCGUGCAGGAAGAAGGCCUUCGGGUUGGAAACUGCUUUUGUACGGAGCGAAAAGGCCCUCUCUAAUACAGGGGGCUCAUGACGGUACCGUAAGAAUAAGCACCGGCUAACUACGUGCCAGCCGCCGCAGUAAAAC
rnacentral:rRNA from 1 species